UAGAGUGACAGACUGGGCAGCCUCAAGAGGGCAAGUACAGUAUGUUUAAUAACAGUGCAAGCUUCCCACAUGCACUGUCUCCUGCCAGUGUGCCUCAACCCUGCCCUGUAGGGACCCAUUAAGGCUGAAAGAGGAAAGUGUGUGUCCAUUCUGACUUUGGGUUCU
ensembl:misc_RNA